ensembl:lncRNA
CAUGGCAACGUGUUCUAAUGGAUUUGAAUGAAUGAAUAAAUAAUAAACGUAAUAACGCAUUGCUUAAACAGCAAUAAUAUCUGAAUUCGUUGCCUGUCUUUGUAUUUAUUAAACGUAUUUAUUCAGGAAGAGGCUAUUCUUCAGGGACUUGAUUAAUUUUCCGUCUGGAUUAAACAGCAGACUUGUGGAUUCCGUACGCUCCUACCUGUUACCCAGAACAAGCUUUUUAAAAUAAUAUGAAGAGAGCUCAUCAUUACAUUCCAGCAGAAAUCUCCUGAUUAAUCUUCGCAUUACAGUAUUUUCUGGCAGUUCGGCUCGUCACAUGCAUCGUAUAUAAUCAUUCCCGGCAGUCUGUCGAAUUCUGGUUUCAUUUCAUGGUGAGGCCUCGGACAGAAUAACAAUGUGCCUCCUUUAUCAGCCUUCGCUUAAGAAGUGUGUAAAUGUUUUUAUGGGAAAACCGAGCUAAAAUUUCACGCCGUUUAAACAGAGUAAGAAGACCUAUGGGUUACACUAAACCUUCCAGUAAUGCAGCUCAGCCACCGCCCCAUAUCGACUAGUAUAGACACACACUAACUCGUCCUCCUCAUAGUAUAGGGCGCCAUUACUUUUCAAUUCGAACGUGUCUUAAUUCAUGGUUGUUGUUUUUUUCUUUGAUUUAUGUUUUUGAUGUUGGUGUUAUGGAUUUGGUUUUGCUGUUGUGUGAUUGUUUUCGUAUUGCUGUUGUGUGUUUAAGUUUGUUGUGUUUUGGUUUUAGUGUGUUUGGUUUUGCAGUUGUGUAUUUGAAGUUGCUGUUGUAUAUUAGGUUGUGUAUUUGGUUUUAGUGUGUUUGUUUUCACUGCUGCCUGUUAGGUUGUGUGUUUGUUUUCACUGUUGUGUAUCAGGUUGUGUGUUUGUUUUCACUGUUGUGUAUCAGGUUGUGUGUUAGAUGUACUGUUGUGUAUCAGGUUGUGUGUUUGUUUUCACUGUUGCGUAUCAGGUUGUGUGUUUGUUUUCACUGUUGCGUAUCAGGUUGUGUGUUCGUUUUCACUGUUGCGUAUCAGGUUGUGUGUUUGUUUUCACUGUUGCGUAUCAGGUUGUGUGUUUGUUUUCACUGUUGUGUAUCAGGUUGUGUGUUUGUUUUCACUGUUGCGUAUCAGGUUGUGUGUUUGUUUUCACUGUUGUGUAUCAGGUUGUGUGUUAGAUGUACUGUUGUGUAUCAGGUUGUGUGUUUGUUUUCACUGUUGUGUAUCAGGUUGUGUGUUCGUUUUCACUGUUCCGUAUCAGGUUGUGCGUUCGUUUUCACUGUUGCGUAUCAGGUUGUGUGUUCGUUUUCACUGUUGCGUAUCAGGUUGUGUGUUCGUUUUCACUGUUGCGUAUCAGGUUGUGCGUUCGUUUUCACUGUUGCGUAUCAGGUUGUGCGUUCGUUUUCACUGUUGCGUAUCAGGUUGUGCGUUCGUUUUCACUGUUGCGUAUCAGGUUGUGCGUUCGUUUUCACUGUUGUGUAUGUGUGUCCUCAGGCAUGAAUGUAAGAUCAUGAUAACUGGAAGCAUUUGUGUACAGCUUGAUAAAUGAGGCCCGGCGUGUAUUUUUAAACCUUAUUUAUCUUUUAUGUGAAUAAUGUGAAUUAGUCUCGGGCUUUGAACGGAGCACCAGGUUUAGAGCGAGUUUAGCUGAGCUGCAUUCAUAUUAAACACAGUCUGGGAGAAGCAAAGCCAAUCGCGGCUGCCAAGUAGCAGCCAUCAGGAGCUGCAGCAGUGUUCUGAUGAGGCAUCGUACCCUUCACAAAAUACACAGCAGUGCCGUCACGCUGAUUUAUUGCCUGCAGGAAGAAAAUGAUUAUAGAGUGGACUAAAUCAAUACAACCCAAAUAUUCCUUCUCCUCUGCCUUCCCUCCCUCCCUCUCUCUCUCUCUCUCUCUCCCUCUCUCAGCACACAUCUACAGCCUCUUACAGCAGGGCCAAAUUAUUUAACAUCACUUUGUUGCUUUCUCCUACAGCAUUUAUGAACUCUUGACAUGAGCUAUUUGAUUUUACGCGCUGGCCUCUGUGAAUCCUCGCCGUGAGGAAGAUGAGGAUACGGACCGGAUGACAGUGGCGAUAUGGUCCGAGUCGGGCACAAUAACGCACUUCGGCUUAAAUCAUCUUUACUGCCAUCGCAGCGAACACCGUCACCUGCUUUAACACAAAUAUACACAUACUCACAUCCUCUUUCCUUUCAUUCACACCGCUGUGCUGUCGAAUACUCCGUUCUGAUUGGUCAGGAGGUGUUGAAUCCUUUCCUAUAGCAGCAGCUCUGACUGUGCUCUUUCUAACACAUUAUCGUUUCUAUAGUAACACCUUAUUACUCGGACUCGUAGUAGUUUAGAUGAUACAUUUUGGUAACGGACGUACCUUUACCUCUUUUUCUCCGUAACACGACGACGCGCUUUUCGUCUUAUUCACGUCAAGAGAUGAAAAGAAGAUGCCGGUGAGGGAACGAACGUUUAUGGCUGCUUUAACGUUAGCGUCGACCGGAGACGACCCGCUUCACGGACGUUCCCCGGCGUUAAACAUGACUAUAAAUGGAUGAUACACUCACAGUUCAUUUGAGUAACAUGUACGCCCGGCGGUAUGUCUAAUCGGCCAAUCGUGUGGCGGCGGAACAAUGCUUCAGUCACAUGUUCACCGACCGUCGGAAUGAGGAGAAAGUCUGGUCUCUAUGACUUUAACCGGGAGUAUUUCGGAAACCGCCGAGCUCCUGGGAUCUUCACACACAGCAGUCUGUAGCGCUUACACAGAACGGUGCGAAAAUCAAAACAUAAACGUCCUGUGUGCGGAGGGUCUGCAGGCUGAAAGACGUUUCUGAUGAGAGAGAUCAGAGGAGAAUGACCAGACCGGGCUGAGCUGACAGGAAGUCUAUAGUAACUGUAAGCUCUCAGUGAAGAAUCGCAGCACGGUAGCGAUGAAGUACAUGAAGCACUUCGGCUCCGUCGGACCGCGGAUAUUUUACACUGGUGUUUCAAACCGGGUUUUCUGUAUGUGACGUACAUGGAGUUUCACUCUAAAUGUAAAUUAAGGACCGCGCUUGACGCGAUCGCUUUCCGCUCUCACGGUACGGACGUACUUACAGGUGUGACCCCCAAACGGUCAGGUGAUAGGAUCGUCUAGACAGACGUCUGUCUGAACGAUAAUUACGGUCACGUAACCCUUCGUUCAGACAUGGUUCUUGAUGUCGCACUGCCGCUCCCGUGAUACGACCGAUCGAAUGUCACUCUCGGCGGUAUUAUACACACAUCGCUGAGAUGUACUGAGGUGUAUCGUGUACUGUCCCUUUGAUAAUUCGGUCAUUUCUAACAGGACUCGUACUGUGUGAUCAGUCGUUACAACCGUGGUGAGCAGAAAAGCAUCUCAGAGCGCACAACACAUCAUCAAACUUUGAUGAUGGAAUACAACGGCAGAAGACCACAUCGGGUUCCACUCGUUAGCCAAGAACGUGAACCCGAGCCGAUCACGGGCACAGACUGUCCAGUUUGGCUGCCAAUAAAAUGUAUCAAAUUUGCUGCUGCCACCACAUGAUUCUCUGAUUGGAUACCGGCAUGAACGGGCGGGCGUACAGGUGUUCCCAUUAGAGUGGACGGCGAGUGUAAUGACGUGACGUUCAUUAAUAAAUGACAGAAUCGUCAGCACAAGUCUGUGGUGUGAGAGAAAUAAAACAGUUGGGAAGACUAGGAAAAGAAUCCAAUUUAGGGAUGUAAUAGUAACGUCACUAUUUCCUUAUAACGGUGGUUUGGUUAUUCGUUAAUUAACGCAUUCCUGCGAAUCAAACUCCUCCAACGCGACACCACAAUUUCCUACACAAACACCCACCGCCUCCUGAACAACACUCGCCCCUUAGUGUGUUCAUUCGCUUCUUUCCACCGGGCGCUCGGCUCAUUACGAAUUAAAACGUGCUCGACGUCUAAAGACUCCCUCACGCACACACACACACCUAAAAGUGGAAUAGGACGCCUCCAUGUGUUUUAAUAAACCAGCCAGAGAGGAUCAGCGUUAAUUUAGACCCACACAGCCAGAGACGAUCUCUUCAAGGCGGAGAAGGCUCGAGAGACUCCCGUGCCGUAGAUGAGAAGAAUGAAGGAGAGACAGAGAGGAAAGAAGGAUUUUUUUUUUUCCCCCCCUUUGAAUAUUAAUAUGCAAUGCACCUUAUGUUUACUGACUCAUUAUUAGGUCACUCCUCUUGGGCCCUGCUACAUGUUUAAUAUCGCUGCACGCGGAUCGGAAUAGAGCUAGGAAAAUUAGCAAACUAAUUAAUGAUGGAUCAGUGUUGUAUUAUUGAUGGAAGUGUGUGUACAGCUUCAAAGCCAGGAUUUAAAUUGUUGAUAUGGUCGGCGUCUUGGUGGUGGGGUGGGGUGGGGUGGGGUGUACUGCGGAGUGCAGUGGAGGGAGGAAGGUUGUGAGGACACACACACACACACACAAACAAACCAAAAAGGUACGCAGGGCUAAACUAGCAUGCAGCAGAACAGUGCCGGGCCUCAUCGAGCAAACAUCGAGAGGGUGGACUCCUCGAUACGUUUCAACACCAACAUGACGGGCGGCUACUGGAUCUCUCUUUUGGCAGACAAAGAGCACCGAGAAAUCCUGAAGACAAUAGAAGACAUCAACGAUACGGCAUCGGAAUAAGGUCUGAUCGAAGAAACGUCACUUGCAACAGUAUAAGCGCUCUUACGUUCUGAAUAGUCGCGAUUACAUCAUGCGGCAAGAUUUUUAUGCGUCACGCCGUACAGUCUGCACAAAAGAAUUCUUCGGUCUUGACGUAACACAUAACAUGAUGCUCACUUGGUGCACAGUCUGAUGCCAUUACGACCAAAGAUGGUCAACGAGAAUAUUCCGGUCUAUACGUCCUAUAGAAUAACGGUAUAGGAUGGCGCGGAACUCGAGGCACGGAUACAAUUCGAAUCCCGACAUUGCCGCAGCCAUUUUGUGUUCAGCAGCCAAACGAGCACGACCGGCCGUGUCUCCGUGGGUGGCAUCAAUCGCACUAGCUAAUCCUGGGCAUGGAUGUGGAAGAGGACAGACCGCGCUUAACUAUACGCGUGAUGUGUUCCGCUCGGAUGCAGAACGAGUAUCCGUUGAUGGAAAGAUGCAUCCGGCGGACGUCACGUGCCUCGGAUGAAGCACACAUCGCGAGCUGGAUGGUUGAGAACUGCCAUCGGAAUCGGUGACCAAAUAUUGGCAAGGAAAAUUGAGGCGGGGGUUGAGUUGGGGAGCUGAAAUCACAUCACUACGCUUCAGAGUAGAGGUGAACCAUCUGGGUCCGAGAUAAGAGUAGCCAGUCGAAAAGAAAGUAGAACGACUCCUCUGCCAGGCUAGGAGUAUGACAGAUAAACACCCCGACGCAGUCUCUUUGAUGUGGGCAGGAUGAUAUCCACUUGGAGAAUGUGUCCGACGUGGCAUUAACAGCCGCCCCGAACAACAUGCCACGAACAAAACGGAGGGCGAGUGUGUUAUUUUCUGGAUGCAGAAAAGAUCAACAUCAGCCCUGACAGACCUCCGAAGACCUGGGAGUUUACUGCACAACCCUCAGUAGAGGUGCCAACAAUGCUAAGAAGGUAGAAAAAAAAACCCCUCCCUCGGAUUAUUACCACAAAAGCUGUAUUUUCGUGUCUAACAGCACAUCCUGACCUCUAAACAGUACACUCUAACCUUUCACGAACAUACUGCGUGAACACUCGGACGAAAGUGACUCACCUCUGAAGUCCUUUCUGGUCUGGAUUAACUCGUCAUUUCAGAACAUAAAUGAAACCAUGUUUGAAUUAAUUACGUACUUAUUCUUAUUUGGCGGAAACAGUACUUUAGUACUAACAUCGUCAGUUUGUGUGUGUGUGUGUGUGUGUGUGUGUGUGUGUGUGAACCAACUAUCCCUAGGCUAUACCGUUGAAUGUGACCUACUGUUGAAUAUGAAACAUCUCAUUAGACCCAUUCAGCAGAACCUUUUGGGAAAUACCGAGUCCCAUCUGAAGCAGUGCGCUUGCGAUCUCAAGCCAGAAACCACUCUUUUAGCGCCUACUUGGUGACAACCACACAUUCCUCUACUGAUAUUUCAGUCAGGAAGCGAGGUGGGCAAGGUGGGAUUCAGAGCUGCAGCCGGUAACCCCUGGCAACAGUCCUCUCUGCCCAUGAUGAGAUGCAUGCAUGCAUGAGCGUGAGUGCAUGUGGAAGGGAACAUCCUUUAUUGGGCUUUGCAAAUGAGGCUCGACGCCACCUGGUACUCUCAUGCAGAAAACCGGGGAUCUGAGAACUCGCAGUCCUGAGUGCGAACUCGAGUAUUCAGGCCAAGUGUAAAAACACCCUCAGUGUGCAUCUAUGACAUGGUAAUGUGAAUGUAGCGAGAUUUAAAAUGAUUUAAGGAACAUAAUUGGACCUUAAGAGCCACUCUUGUACCUUUUAAUUAGCCUUUAGGGUAUUAUGUGUAGCAUUUCAUGUAAAAGAUAUACUAAAGGUACAAAAGAUGUACUCGAGGGUACCGAGUACCUUUUUUUUUUUUGAGAGUGUAUGAAGAGGCAAUAUAGCUUACUGGCAUAUCUUCUGGUUCCUAGUCUAACAAGCCAAGGUUGAAUAUAUACUCGCUGUUUCCCGCUGCAAGUGUCAUAUAAGGCUGAAGCUGGGGAGAGCGUGCCUGCUCAGGCUUUUCACUGACCUCCAUGUCACCUUCAGAGUCUUUUUGGACUUGAUUUGCCAAAUUCAAAGAGGAUGCUUGUUCAGAGUAGACCACUUGAUCUGGCAGCAAAAUGCACAUGUAUCAUACUUCAUCCAAUUUCUUACUCUCUGGCAUGUACUAUCACUAGGUACUUGCUAACCUAGCAAGUGUGAGUAACCUGGGUACUUGCUAACAAGGCAAGUAUGAGUCAUAUGCAACUGGGGCAUAAGUCUCUGGGCAACUGUUAAGCAGAGUCAAAGGGAAGACUUGUGACAGCAGAUUUUGGAAAAGUUCUGUAGGGAGUUGAUGCAACCGAAAAGAUGCUGUUCUACCCAAUGAAACGCGUGUGGAUGGAGCCGGAAUGCGCGUGGAUGGAGCCGGAACGCGCGUGGAUUGGGCAUUCUGAAUCGUCCCUAGGUGUAAAUGUGCGUGUUCAUGAUACCCUGUGGUGCCCAGGGUUUAUUCCUGCCUCAUACCCGUUGUUCCCCAGGACAGACUUGGGAUCCGCCGUAAUCCUGACCAGAGAACCACUCACUGAAGAUGAACGAAUAAAGUGAGUUGUCUAGCUACCAUGCCAGAAAUCCCCCUCGGAACCAAGACGUUCAUCACUUGUAACCGGAAGCACGUAAGUGACGUGGCCAUUGAAGUCAUCUCGCAUCAUUUUCUUCACAAGUGCAAAGGCGUUCUCUACCAGAAAUACGUUGGGGUGGGGGGGGGCGGGGGGGCGGGUGAUGCCUCGUAUUUACUCGGCAGCGUGUGGUAUCCGAGUGGAUCUAACGCGAAAGACGCACACCGAGUUCUGUUCACUAAAUGACAGUGAGCUCAGCGUUCACACUCUGCAGUGUGUACUUCACACUCGCCCCGGAGCCAAAAACCAUCUCUCACACUCCUCUUACACCGAUCUCCUGCAGGAAUCCAAAGCAUACCAACGAGAAUGCCCGAAUAUCGCGAUCGCCUUGAAUAUACGUGAAAGGCGUACGAGGGACACGCCGAUACUGAUUAAAUUCUCAAUCUUUCAUUGAGCUUCAG